rnacentral:rRNA from 1 species
GACAGAGGCCCCAAGCGUUAGGCGGAAUCACUGGGCUUAAAGCGUGUGUAGGCGGACUUCUAAGUGCCUUGUGAAAUCCCACGGCUCAACCGUGGAACUGCUGGGCAUACUGGGAGUCUUGGGCCAUUCAGGGGCAACUGGAACAAGCGGUGGAGCGGUGAAAUGCGUAGAUAUGCGGAGGAAUACCGAUGGCGAAGGCAGCCCCCUGGGUCAACACUGACGCUCAUGCACGAAAGCGUGGGGAGCAAACAGG